CGAGCGAUAAGNCCUUUNCGGGGUAUCUCKWSCGGCGAACGGGUGAGUAACACGUGGGUGAUCUGCCCUGCACUUCGGGAUAAGCCUGGGAAACUGGGUCUAAUACCGGAUAUGACCUCCUAUCGCAUGGUNGGGGGUGGAAAGAUUUAUCGGUGCAGGAUGGGCCCGCGGCCUAUUCAGCUUGUUGGUGGGGUAAUGGCCUACCAAGGCGACGACGGGUAGCCGACCUGAGAGGGUGACCGGCCACACUGGGACUGAGACACGGCCCAGACUCCUACGGGAGGCAGCAGUGGGGAAUAUUGCAACAAUGGGCGAAAGCCUGAUGCAGCGACGCCGCGUGAGGGAUGACGGCCUUCGGGUUGUAAACCUCUUUCAGCAGGGACGAAGCGCAAGUGACGGUACCUGCAGAAGAAGCACCGGCUAACUACGUGCC
rnacentral:rRNA from 1 species